rnacentral:piRNA from 1 species
UGAGCAACCAGAGUGGCUGCCCGUGGC